rnacentral:rRNA from 1 species
AACAGGAUUAGAUACCCUGGUAGUCCACGCCGUAAACGAUGAGUGCUAAGUGUUAGAGGGUUUCCGCCCUUUAGUGCUGAAGUUAACGCAUUAAGCACUCCGCCUGGGGAGUACGGCCGCAAGGCUGAAACUCAAAGGAAUUGACGGGGGCCCGCACAAGCGGUGGAGCAUGUGGUUUAAUUCGAAGCAACGCGAAGAACCUUACCAGGUCUUGACAUCCUCUGAAAACCCUAGAGAUAGGGCUUCUCCUUCGGGAGCAGAGUGACAGGUGGUGCAUGGUUGUCGUCAGCUCGUGUCGUGAGAUGUUGGGUUAAGUCCCGCAACGAGCGCAACCCUUGAUCUUAGUUGCCAUCAUUAAGUUGGGCACUCUAAGGUGACUGCCGGUGACAAACCGGAGGAAGGUGGGGAUGACGUCAAAUCAUCAUGCCCCUUAUGACCUGGGCUACACACGUGCUACAAUGGACGGUACAAAGAGCUGCAAGACCGCGAGGUGGAGCUAAUCUCAUAAAACCGUUCUCAGUUCGGAUUGUAGGCUGCAACUCGCCUACAUGAAGCUGGAAUCGCUAGUAAUCGCGGAUCGGCAUGCCGCGGUGAAUACGUUCCCGGGCCUUGCACACACCGCCCGUCACACCACGAGAGUUUGUAACACCCGAAGUCGGUGGGGUAACCUUUUUGGAGCCAGCCGCCCAAGGUGGGACAGAUGAUUGGGGUGAAGUCGUAACAAGGUAACC